rnacentral:rRNA from 1 species
GGUGGUUACAAUAAGAGCAAGUGGUGGAUGCCUAGACAUCAAAAGACGAUGAAGGACGUAGCAGCCUGCGAUAAGCUUCGGGGAGGUGGCAAGCAACCUUUGAUCCGGAGAUUUCCGAAUGGGGUAACCCUCCUGUCAUAAAGGCAGGAAUCACUGACUGAAUUCAUAGGUCAGUUGAAGAAGACCUGGGGAAUUGAAACAUCUUAGUACCCAGAGGAAAAUAAAGAAACAAUGUUAGUUUUUAGUUCUUCGAUUGUUAGCAAUAACAGUCGAAUAAUCUAAGAGCUAAUUUCGAUUCCCUUAGUAGUGGCGAGCGAAAAGGGAAGAGCCCAAACCACAUCAGUGUUUUUAUGGAAUGAUAAGCCGCAAGGUUUGUUGUGAAGUAAUUUAAAGGUACAAGCCGUUGCUGAUGCUGGCGUUGUGAGAGGUUACGUUAUGGGUCUUGUAGCUCAUAGACAGAGUAAUUUGGUUAGUUUCCUAGUAGAAUCCGCUGGAAAGCGGAGCCAAAGAAGGUGAUAGCCCUGUACGCGAAAGGAGUAAUCACUCUGUGGUAAUUUAUCUCGAGUACCUCGGGACUCGUGAAAUCCCGUGGGAAACCGGCGCGACUAUGCGCUAAGGCUAAAUACUUUUGAUGAUCGAUAGUGAACUAGUACCGUGAGGGAAAGGUUAAAAGCACCCCGGUGAGGGGAAUGAAAUAGUAUCUGAAACCAUUUGCUUACAAAGAGUCAGAGCCUGGCAGGAUUUAUUCUGUUGGGUGAUGGCGUUCCUAAUGAAGACUGAACCAACGAGUGUGUAGGUGUUGCCUAAUCUAAUCUCUAAGGAGAGAAGGUGUAGCGAAAGCGAGUCUUAACGGGCGACAUUAGUUUAUUAGCUUGCCCCGAUUUAUCGGGGUUGGCUAAUUUACUAAACAGCAGCAUUUACACGACCCGAAACCAGGUGAGCUA